rnacentral:rRNA from 1 species
AAUGAACGCUGGCGGCAUGCCUAACACAUGCAAGUCGAACGAGACCUUCGGGUUUAGUGGCGCAUGGGUGCGUAACGGGUGGGAACAUGCCCAUAGGUUUGGCAUAACUUCCCGAAUGGGGUGCUAAUACGGGAUCUUGUCUCCGGUCCAAAGAUUUAUCGCCUUUGGAUGGGCUCGCGUUGGAUUAGUUGGUUAUUAGGGUAAAAGCCUACAACGGGGAGGAUCCAUAGCUGGUUAGAGAGGCAGCUUACCGACACUGGGAGUGAGAAACGGCCCAGAAUCCUGCGGGAUGGAGCAGAGGGGGAUAUUGGACAAUGGGCGGAGGCCUGAUCCAGCAAGGCCGCGUAAGUGAUGAAGGCCUGAGGGUUGUAAAGCUCUUUUACCCGGGAUGAUAAUGACGGUACCGGGAGAAUAAGCUCCGGCUAACUCCGUG